UUGCACAAAAAUUAGGGAAAAUCUCUCUCUUCUUUCCGUCGACCAGCCACCCUACCAGCGCCGCCUCCUCUUCCGUCUCUAUCUCCGUCUCCGUCUCCGGUGGUGUUCCCCUCCUCCCCCUCAUCUCUCUCUCUCUUCUCUCCCUCUUCACCGUACGCUGCCGCCCUCUCUCUCUCACGGACUACUCCACCACCGCCGCCGCAGCGAGCACGACGACGCACCGCCACCACCGUGUGCAGCACAGACACCGCCGUAUCUCCAGAUCCUCCUCCGUUCAAGUCAGCCGCCGCCGCCACUGUGCAUGCACAGGUGGCGGCUUCGGCCUUCUCCGAGCCUCACACCGCCGGUCGCUGCCGCAGCCUAGACCCCUCCCACGCCGCCGACACCGAUUCCUGACAGAUUUUUAAAGAAAUGAAAACUGUGACUUUCGGAGCGUUGGUUGUCGAUUGUCGGCGACGGAGUGCCAAGCUUGCUGUCGGAAUUCGGCAGAUUCAUAGGGAUAAGUUUUUCUCCUUCUUUCUAGUUAUUAAGGCAGUAGGAUUCUACUUGGUUUCUAUUUACUGAAUUUGGUGAAUUAUGAGUAUAUGCCUUGCUAUAUGGAUGAUUUAAUGGUGAAAUAUACUAUAUUGUUAACUUGGGGGUGGGCAGAUUCUAUUUCCAAAUAUAUGCAGACUUGUACAUAUAUGAAUGAAAGGAAAUGUUUGUUAUUUACCUUGUUGAUGCAGAAAGUAAAGUGUUGGGUUGUAGUGUUUGAGUUGUGCAAUCUCCUUCGGACUCCUCUAGCUUUUGUGGGUUGGUGUGUGCAUAGAAAAUAGAUUGUGUGGUGAUGAUGUGGGGUGAAUAAAAGAAAUGAUUGUAUAUCUAUAUGCGUAUUCACCAAGUCAGUGAAACUGACGUAGCAAGUUGGCUAACAAAAUUUUAUCUCAAUCUCCUCCUUUGCCAGAGGAAGAUAUGAUUGUCUGCUAAACAUUUAAUGCAAUAAUAAAUGCUUUGUCGGAAGAAUAAUUGAUCCAUAGGAUCGGCCCUAUUCGUUCUUUUUUUUGUUUAUUUUAUUUGUUUAUUAAAUUAAUUAUUUGAGUAUUUGUUCACUUAUUCGUUUAAUUUGGUGUAGGUAUAAUCGGUUCAAGUUCGUGGCUGCCCGCUCUGAAGUACCCGAUUUGCUUAGAACAUAGGAUGUAUUAAAUUUUGUUGGACUUUUGUUGGAUGUAUUGGACAUCAAGAAUUUAAAUUUUGGGAUCUUAUUUAUUUAUUUAUUUAAAUUUAUUAUAUUCA